UUUUAAUUAGCCAAUCAGAGGCUAGGAGUUCGAACCUAACGUUAAAAAUUGUUAGUGUAAAAAAAUUCUCCAUCCGUGUCUGACGUCCUUUUUCACAUCAUCAUUUCUCUCGAAAAGAAAGAUUCCUCGAUGGCUUGUGGUGUAUCACGUUAGAUUAAGAUAAGGGCAAAAGAAAAAAAAGGGUACCUUAUAUUAAAGCACGGGAUUCUCUAUAUAUUAAGAUCCUGUCCCUGCGUGUACAUCAAAGAAUAAACUAUAUAUCUCGAUCUUGUUCACGAAUAAAGUUGAGGAUCAGUAAAAGCUCGGUCUUUUUGAAUGGUAAUGUUCGCAAAUUUUUCACGAUAAAUCGUGGAUAAUUUGAAUCAUAACCUAGAGAAGGGAUCUCCGAAUGCUUACUGAUCUAAACAGGAUUAUUUGGAAAAAAGAUAUUUUUUAUUAUGAGCUAUUUGAGGAGAAAAGGAUAAUAAAGUCAUGGGGAUUUUUUAAC